UGCCCAGCAACUCCUAUCCCUACCUCCUCGUGGGAUAGGGGGUACGAGUAACCUUGGGGAAGAUCGGGUAACCAACCCCCGGUGGGAACUUUGGUCGUAUGCUGACAGGGAAGG
rnacentral:ribozyme from 1 species